GACGAACGCUGGCGGCGUGCCUAAUACACGCAAGUCGAACGAGAGCGACCGGUGCUUGCACUGGUCAAUCUAGUGGCGAACGGGUGAGUAACACGUGGGUAACCUGCCCAUCAGAGGGGGAUAACAUCCGGAAACGGAUGCUAAAACCGCAUAGGUCUUCGAGCCGCAUGGUUUGAAGAGGAAAAGAGGCGCAAGCUUCUGCUGAUGGAUGGACCCGCGGUGCAUUAGCUAGUUGGUGAGGUAACGGCUCACCAAGGCCGUGAUGCAUAGCCGACCUGAGAGGGUGAUCGGCCACAUUGGGACUGAGACACGGCCCAAACUCCUACGGGAGGCAGCAGUAGGGAAUCUUCCGCAAUGGACGCAAGUCUGACGGAGCAACGCCGCGUGAGUGAAGAAGGUUUUCGGAUCGUAAAACUCUGUUGUUAGAGAAGAACAAGUGCUAGAGUAACUGUUAGCGCCUUGACGGUAUCUAACCAGAAAGCCACGGCUAACUACGUG
rnacentral:rRNA from 1 species